AGUCACUGCGCGAUCGUUUCCUGGUCCUCGCCUCCUCCGCGGUCUCCCUGGAGUUCUUGCAAGGCGGCCAGGGUGUCUCAGGCUGAGUUUGAGAAAGCUGCAGAGGAGGUUAAGCACCUUAAGACCAAGCCAGCCGAUGAUGAGAUGCUGUUCAUCUAUGGCCGCUACAAACAAGCAACCGUGGGUGAUGUAAAUACAGAACGGCCCAGGAUGUUGGACUUCACGGGCAAGGCCAAGUGGGAUGCCUGGAAUGAGCUGAAAGGGACUACCAAGGAAGAUGCCAUGAAAGCUUACAUCAACAAAGUAGAAGAGCUAAAGAAAAAAUACGGGAUAUGAGUGACUGGAUUUGGUUAGUAGGCCAUGUGUUUCUCCUAAACUGAGACAAUGCCUUGUUUUUUCUAAUACCGUGGAUGGUGGGAAUUCCGGAAAAUAACCAGUUAGCCCAGCUACUCAAGGCUGCUCACCAUACAGCUCUAACAGAUGAGAGGCUAAAACGAUCACUGACCUUCCUUGAGUAGUUUUUAUAUCAAUUAAAAGUGUAUUUGUUACUUU